GUGAAGAUAAUAUCCUGCCUGCAUUACACUUCUGAUGUGUCUGUAGAAAGAGCAAAAUGAAGGUCAUGGGUUUGAUCCCAGAGGAAAUGCAUACUGACAAAAGAAAGGCAUCAGUGCUGCAGGAACAUCUGGAACACAGCAUCUUUCUAAUGGGAUUCAUUUAACCACAGAGUAGAGAAGAGCCAAUGAAGAUGAUGAACUUCAGUCAGUAUUUGGAGGAUUGGU